CCUACGGGGGGCAGCAGUGAGGAAUAUUGGUCAAUGGACGAGAGUCUGAACCAGCCAAGUAGCGUGAAGGAUGACUGCCCUAUUGGUUGUAAACUUCUUUUAUAUGGGAAUAAAACGUUCCACGUGUGGGAUUUUGUAUGUACCAUAUGAAUAAGGAUCGGCUAACUCCGUGCCAGCAGCCGCGGUAAUACGGAGGAUCCGAGCGUUAUCCGGAUUUAUUGGGUUUAAAGGGAGCGUAGGUGGAUUGUUAAGUCAGUUGUGAAAGUUUGCGGCUCAACCGUAAAAUUGCAGUUGAAACUGGCAGUCUUGAGUACAGUAGAGGUGGGCGGAAUUCGUGGUGUAGCGGUGAAAUGCUUAGAUAUCACGAAGAACUCCGAUUGCGAAGGCAGUUCACUGGACUGCAACUGACACUGAGGCUCGAAAGUGUGGGUAUCAAACAGGAUUAGAUACCCCUGUAGUC
rnacentral:rRNA from 1 species